UUUUAUUUCUGAUGUCUCAGAUGGAGCUCCCAUACUGCCAGAACUUCAACAUCAGCUUUGGAGGAUAUCCAAAAGGCCUUUUUUUUUUUUCUUUUUUUCUUUUUAGUAACCAGGACUCCAUGCUGCUGCACAAAUUGCCUGGCAGGAGGGAUAUGGUGCAUGAGAGUCCAAAUCUUCCAGCUGGAGAACAAGGUGCUGCCUGGCUUUCCAUGGGCUUGCAGAGUGGACCUCUAUGGCCAGAUUGGAUUUGAUGCUGCAGCUCAGUGGCCUCCUUCAGGUUGGACCCCAGGCUUCUCCUACUUCCUGUCCAAGUGGAGCAAAUGCAGCUCAGCUGGUUCCUGAGUUGCUACUGCCCCACCCCUAUGUCCACGUGCUGGUCUAAGAAGAGGGCAGGGAUAUUGAGAAAGUAACAGAGAAGGAGCAACAGUGACCAUCUCUGCCCAAGUGUGAAGGCCUCCCUGGCCCUCCAAAGAGAUGUACAGACUUGAGGAGAUGCAAAGGUCCUUCUGGUUGUAGGACUUCAAUUAUGAUCUCUGAGGAUAUGCUUCAAAAUAAAGUCCCCCAUAUUGAAAAUCACUGAUCUCAUUUCAAAGGAUAAAAGCAAUCUUUACUAGAAAAGUCACACACACACACGCACACACACACAUACUGCCCCCCUGCCACACACACACAAUGGUAACUAUGGGUGGUGACAUAUGUGUUAAUUAAUGUUGUUGUAAUAAUUAUGCAAUGUAUGUGUAAUUAAUUCAUCCCAUUAUAUACCUUGAAUAUAUGCAAUUUUUAUUUAUUAAAUAUUUUCUUAAGAUCUCCUUAAAGUAUUUCUUUUAACUCUUUAACCAUUUCAGCAAUAUCAUCUUUUCUUUCCUUCAUGUUCUUAUUCUUUCCCAUUUAAUUUUACUUUUAAGAUAAUUUUUCUCUCUGUUUUUUCAGGAAUAACAAUCUUCAAGGUUCUCCCUUUUUCCUUUAAAGGCAGUGAUUGCAGAUAAAGAAGCUGAAAUUUUUGCUAUUAUGACACAAAACAGCAUGGCUUGUAAAGAAUUUUCCAGGGUCAUUUGCCUGGGAGGUGCCCUGUCCCCUCCAAUUUUGUACCAGAUCUGAAUUUUUUCUCUGUGACCUUGACAACAAUUCUUCACAUAUUCAUUCAAUACUUACUAACUUUCCUGGGUGUCAGAUAAGGCACUCAGGACACAGUGGUGACAAAAUAGAUAAUUAAGGGAAGCUUACACUGUAGUUGGGGGAAACAGUCCAUAAAUAAGUAAUUGAACAAUAAGCAAGAUACUGUCAGAAUGAAACCAGGAUCAUGAAGAAAAGGAAUCAGAAUGAUUUCAAAAAGCAUUUGAGGGCAGGGGAACCUGGGACUCUUUUAAUGGGUGCACCUAAAAGAGGGAAGACCUCACGAACAUGUAAAGUCUGAGCGGAGUCCUAGAAGAUAAGAUAAAGCAACCAUGAGAAGAUUUUCUCUGAGAGCAUGAGAAACAGGCUGCAGAGAACAUCAAGUACCUGCCUUCUUCAGACAUCUGUUUCCCCACAAAUAGCCAUCUAUUUUACCUGCAGAGAAUUUUGCAGUUAUUCUCCUUCCCUCCCCCUCUGCCUUUCCCUCUCCCUCUUCCUCUCUCUCCGUGUGUGUGUGUGUGUGUGUGUGUGUGUGUGUGUGUUUGUAUAUGUGUAACUCUAUGAAAAACACUUCAUCUGAGAAGCCAACGUGUAAGUUAAAUUUAAGGCAAAUACAGAGUAUAAUAAGAUUUGAGGGUGUAACAGAAGUAAAAUAACCUUAUUUGAUCAACAUUUUAUUUCUACCUUAAAUAAAAAGAAAAAUGUUUCUAUUUACAAUGAUUUGAUACACUUCUGUAAGUGCAUAAAAGCCUAUAAGCUAUCAAAGUUCAUUCUAUUAACUAAGGAGAAAUCUUAAGGGCUACAUCUGGAUAAUACCACAAAUUCAUAAAUUAGUAAUUUAUAAUUCCCCAUUGUAAAUGAUCACUCAGCUGAUACACAUGAGGACACCUGGCAAUCAAACUAAAUAUUCCCAUUUCCAGAUGCAAGACAUAACUAACUGGUUAAUUGCCUUUAAAUUUUUGGCCUUAUGGUUUAUUUUUUAAAAAUCAUUAGAAAAUAGAUAGAUGAUGAAAAAAAUGUGGUUCCAAAAGUUUUUCAUUUUUCUGAAAAAUACUUCCAUUAUCACUAUUUUUAGCAAAUUUAAUUUAAAAAUCUUUUUGUUUUUCUAAGCUUUGAGUUAGGGAAAAUUUUAAAAGACUAUAGGAGUUGGGGGAAUUUUAAUAUUAGCCAAAAGGGUUUGAAGCAGAGAACUAGGAUAAGAAAGGAAGUGAGGGGUGAGCAAAGGUCUCAAGCCAAAUGGGGCAGAAGAAAGAGCCCAGCUAGUUGUGACAAAUAGAGGGAGAGCAGCUGCUGACCAGCCUCAUGACCUUAUUUAUUACAUGGGGAGGAGAGUUGGCCAGUGAUGGAAAAGGAGGAAAACCAUAUCCUCCCUUGGGGACAAGGUAUAAAGAUCAAGGGAUCUGUGAAGUCUAGCAUGUCCCACAAUGAUGAUGAUGGUGAUAAUGACCACAGCUGUCCCUAGAGUGUGACACCAAAGCAAAGGGGAGGACAAACAUACUCGCACGGAAACAAGGAGCACUGUGCAGCAGACGGAAAGCCUUCAUUUGAUUUCAAGCUCUUUUGACAGGAGACCUGUGUCUAUUCCAGACUGGAAUUGUCUCUUUUCUCAUCACAUCCUUUGGAGAGAACAAAAGUUAGGGAAUAUCCAUGGGGUUUUUGUGAAGAUUCUUUGUACUGGGGAUGGGAGGUACUGAUGCAUUGGCAGCUCUUCACUUCCCCCAUGAAAAUAUACUGUAUCCCUCUCAAUAAAAAAAAAAAAAGCAGGGAGAAGAAAGUUGUGGUAGAUGUUAUUAUCAUAAUGCCAAAAUUAUUCUGAGGAAAAGAAAAACCCACUUCAGAAGUAUGCUCUUUCUUAACUGUACAAGGUAUCAGAGGAAGCAGAUGUUUUGUCUGUUACUCAAUCUCCUACUCUCCCUCUCUUUCUAUCCUUGCCAUCUUCCCCAUCACUUCUCCAUCAUAAAUUAAUGACAGCAUUGACUAAUUUUAUCAUAUUUUGAAUCAAUUUUCAUAGAUCCAUCUAUUCAUUUAAAUAAAUGUCUCUGAUAUACAUCAUCUUACAAACACCCCAAAAUGUAAAACCUUAAGCACAAGAAGAAAGGCACAUGGAGAAUUUGUGUUCCAGGA
rnacentral:lncRNA from 1 species